AGAAAAGCGAUGAUAAGAAGAGUACGUUUUAAUGUCAUUUAAAAGAGAGCCUGGAUAGCUGAAAAAAGGCAAUGAAUAUAGAACUGAAGAUGGUCUUUGAGCGAGGAGUAGGCGAAUUGGUUUUACCAACAAGCUUAUUACGGGAGCACCCGUUACAGUGCCACAGUAUAAAAAGUUGUUUUUUUCUUUUGUACUGAUUGAGGUCGACUUAGUGAUGAGUCAACAAAACAAGGUGGUAACACGAAAUGUCCAAAGCUUUCGUCCUUGAA
rnacentral:ncRNA from 1 species